rnacentral:rRNA from 1 species
AGUGGCGGACGGGUGAGUAACGCGUGGGCAACCUGCCCCAUACAGGGGGAUAACAGUUAGAAAUGACUGCUAACACCGCAUAAGCGCACAGGGCCGCAUGGCCCGGUGUGAAAAACUCCGGUGGUAUGGGAUGGGCCCGCGUCUGAUUAGCCAGUUGGCGGGGUAACGGCCCACCAAAGCGACGAUCAGUAGCCGACCUGAGAGGGUGACCGGCCACAUUGGGACUGAGACACGGCCCAAACUCCUACGGAAGGCAGCAG